rnacentral:rRNA from 1 species
UGGGGAAUCUUCCGCAAUGGACGAAAGUCUGACGGAGCAACGCCGCGUGAGUGAAGACGGCCUUCGGGUUGUAAAGCUCUGUUAUUCGGGAAGAACGAUUCGUUUGUGAACAAUGAACGGAAGUGACGGUACCGAAAGAGAAAGCCACGGCUAACUACGUGCCAGCAGCCGCGGUAAUACGUAGGUGGCAAGCGUUGUCCGGAAUUAUUGGGCGUAAAGAGCGCGUAGGCGGUAUGGUAAGUCUGUCUUAGAAGUGCGGGGCUUAACCCCGGGAGGGGACAGAGACUGUCAUACUGGAGUCUCGGGGAGGAAAGCGGAAUUCCUAGUGUAGCGGUGAAAUGCGUAGAGAUUAGGAAGAACACCGGUGGCGAAGGCGGCUUUCUGGACGAGCACUGACGCUGAGGCGCGAAAGCGUGGGGAGCGAACAGG